rnacentral:misc_RNA from 1 species
GAUGAAGAACGUAGCGAAAUGCGAUAAGUAAUGUGAAUUGCAGAAUUCAGUGAAUCAUCGAAUCUUUGAACGCACAUUGCGCCCGCCAGUAUUCUGGCGGGCAUGCCUGUUCGAGCGUCAUUUCAACCAUCAAGCCCUGCUUGCGUUGGGGUCCUGCGGCUGCCCGCAGGCCCUGAAAACCAGUGGCGGGGUCGCUAGUCACACCGAGCGCAGUAAUACAUCUCGCUUUGGGCGUGCGGCGGGUUCUUGCCGUUAAACACCCCCUUUUUACCAAGGUUGACCUCGGAUCAGGUAGGAAUACCCGCUGAACUUAAGCAUAUCAAUAAGCGGAGGA